rnacentral:tRNA from 2 species
GGGCUUGUAGCUCAGCUGGUAGAGUGCCGCCUUCGCAAGGCGGAAGCCCCGGGUUCGAAUCCCGGCAAGUCCA